UACAGAGGGUGCGAGCGUUGUUCGGAUUCACUGGGCGUAAAGGGUGCGUAGGUGGCAGGGUAAGUUUGAUGUGAAAUCUCCGGGCUUAACCCGGAAACUGCAUUGAAUACUAUCCUGCUUGAGGGUUGGAGGGGGGACUGGAAUUCUCGGUGUAGCAGUGAAAUGCGUAGAUAUCGAGAGGAACACCAGUGGCGAAGGCGAGUCCCUGGACAACACCUGACACUGAGGCACGAAAGCUAGGGGAGCAAACAGG
rnacentral:rRNA from 1 species